UACGUAGGGUCCGAGCGUUGUCCGGAAUUACUGGGCGUAAAGAGCUCGUAGGUGGUUUGUCGCGUUGUUCGUGAAAACUCACAGCUCAACUGUGGGCGUGCGGGCGAUACGGGCAGACUGGAGUACUGCAGGGGAGACUGGAAUUCCUGGUGUAGCGGUGGAAUGCGCAGAUAUCAGGAGGAACACCGGUGGCGAAGGCGGGUCUCUGGGCCGAUACUGACGCUGAGGAGCGAAAGCGUGGGGAGCGAGCAGG
rnacentral:rRNA from 1 species